rnacentral:misc_RNA from 1 species
UACGGAAGGUGCAAGCGUUACUCGGAAUCACUGGGCGUAAAGAGUCCGUAGGUGUCUUGGAUAGUCUGGCGUAAAAGCACGAAGCUCAACUCCGUGUAUGUGCCGGAAACUUCCGAGAUCGAGUCAUACAGAGGCAUCUGGAAUUACGUGUGUAGGGGUAAAAUCCGUUGAUCCACGUAGGAACGCCAAAAGCGAAGGCAGGAUGCUGGGUAUGUACUGACACUCAUGGACGAAAGCGUGGGGAGCGAACCGG